rnacentral:rRNA from 1 species
CAGUCGCCACGGGAAUACGUAGGGUGCGAGCGUUAAUCGGAAUUACUGGGCGUAAAGCGUGCGCAGGCGGUUUUGUAAGACAGGCGUGAAAUCCCCGGGCUCAACCUGGGAAUGGCGCUUGUGACUGCAAAGCUAGAGUGCGGCAGAGGGGGAUGGAAUUCCGCGUGUAGCAGUGAAAUGCGUAGAUAUGCGGAGGAACACCGAUGGCGAAGGCAAUCCCCUGGGCCUGCACUGACGCUCAUGCACGAAAGCGGGGGGAGCAAACAGGAUUAGAUACCCGCGUAGUCCCUGUCUCUUAUAC